rnacentral:rRNA from 1 species
GACGAACGCUGGCGGCGUGCUUAACACAUGCAAGUCGAACGGAAAGGCCCUGCUGUUGUUUGGUGCUCGAGUGGCGAACGGUUGAGUAACGCGGGAGUAACCUGCCCUUGACUUUGGGAUAACUUCAGGAAACUGGGGCUAAUACCGGAUAGGAGCUCCUGCUGCAUGGUGUUGGUUGGAAAGUUUCGGCGGUUGGGGAUUGACUCGCGGCUUAUCAGCUUGUCGGUGGGGUAGUUGCUUACCAAGGCUUUGACGGGUAGCCGGCCUGAGAGGGUGACCGGCCACAUUGGGACUGAGAUACGGCCCAGACUCCUACGGGAGGAAGCAGUGGGGAAUAGUGCACAAUGGGCGGCAGCCUGAUGCAGCAACGCCGCGUGCGGGAUGACGGCCUUAGGGUUGUAACCCGCUUUCGCCUGUGACGAAGCGUGAGUGACGGUAAUGUGUAAAGAAGCACCGGCUAACUACGUG